rnacentral:rRNA from 1 species
GUAGGGAACCUGACGUGCGACGCCGCGUGGGGGAUGAAGGCCCUUGGGUUGUAAACCCCUUUUGUUCGGGAAGAAGUGCGAUCAGGUGAACAAUCUGGUCGUUUGACGGUACCGGACGAAUAAGCUCCGGCUAACUCCGUGCCAGCAGCCGCGGUAAUACGGGGGGAGCAAGCGUUGUUCGGAAUCACUGGGCGUAAAGGGCGUGUAGGCGGUCAGGUAAGUAAGACGUGAAAUGCCUCGGCUCACCCGAGGAGCGGCGUCUUAUACUGCUUGGCUUGAGUAUGGGAGAGGUUGUGGGAAUUCCUGGUGUAGCGGUGAAAUGCGUAGAUAUCAGGAGGAACACCGGUGGCGAAGGCGCACAACUGGCCCAAUACUGACGCUGAUGCGCGAAAGCUAGGGGAGCAAACGGGAUUAGAUACCCCGGUAGUCCUAGCCGUAAACGGUGAUCACUAGGUGUUGGAGGCAUUGACCCCUCCAGUGCCGCAGCUAACGCAUUAAGUGAUCCGCCUGGGGAGUACGGCCGCAAGGUUGAAACUCAAAGGAAUUGACGGGGGCCCGCACAAGCGGUGGAGCAUGUGGUUUAUUC